GGUUCUCAUAUUUGAGAUAACAGAACCAAACUUCCCCAGUGAUGAGGCAAUAAGAAUUUUUGUACGGUUUUAGAGAUCAGAAGAAACAAAAGCGUUGAUCAAUCUUGAUGGUCUGUUCUUUGGAGGCAAUGUGGUUUGUUCAACUUUCUAUGAUGAGGAAAAGUUCAGUAAGAACAAAUUGGCUCCCAUGGCAGGUGUAAUCCCAGGUUUUUGACAUGAUUGUUUCAAUAGUUUUGCCAAGUUUCCUUUACAAGGGAUAAAACCAGUUUAGUAAUGUGAAGAAGUAAGCUGUGUUGUAAGUGCUGCUAACGAAAUUAACCAUUUCUUACAUGAGUGAACAAACACAUGAUCAAAUGGUGGAUUAUCAAGUUGAAGAUUUGGUGUUCCCCCCAUGGAUUUGCAGUGAAGUUUUAAGUUGUGGCUGCAGUUGGUCAGCUUUCUUUCUUACAAUUUGCGGAUUUUUGAUAACUUAGGACAUUCUUACGUUUAGUUUCUUAUCUAUUUUUUUAAACCCAAU
rnacentral:misc_RNA from 1 species